rnacentral:rRNA from 1 species
AUUGAACGCUGGCGGCAGGCCUAACACAUGCAAGUCGAGCGGAUGAAGGAAGCUUGCUCCUGGAUUCAGCGGCGGACGGGUGAGUAAUGCCUAGGAAUCUGCCUGGUAGUGGGGGAUAACGUCCGGAAACGGGCGCUAAUACCGCAUACGUCCUGAGGGAGAAAGUGGGGGAUCUUCGGACCUCACGCUAUCAGAUGAGCCUAGGUCGGAUUAGCUAGUUGGUGGGGUAAAGGCCUACCAAGGCGACGAUCCGUAACUGGUCUGAGAGGAUGAUCAGUCACAGUGGAAGUGAGAGACGGGCCAGGGACCAAGGGGAGGCGAGAGGGGGGAAUAUUGGAAAAUGGGGGAAAGCCUGAAAAAAGCAGGACGGGGGUGGGAAGAAGGUUUGAGGAUUGGAAAAAGCUUUAAGUUGGGAAGAAGGGGAAAAAGGUAAAACCUGGCUGUUUGAAGGUAACAAAAAAAAAAGAACCGGGCAAACUUGGG